rnacentral:rRNA from 1 species
AUUGAACGCUGGCGGCAUGCCUUACACAUGCAAGUCGAACGGUAACAGGUCUUCGGAUGCUGACGAGUGGCGAGCGGGUGAGUAAUACAUCGGAACGUGCCUAGUAGUGGGGGAUAACUACUCGAAAGAGUGGCUAAUACCGCAUGAGAUCUACGGAUGAAAGCAGGGGAUCGCAAGACCUUGUGCUACUAGAGCGGCCGAUGGCAGAUUAGGUAGUUGGUGGGAUAAAAGCUUACCAAGCCGACGAUCUGUAGCUGGUCUGAGAGGACGAUCAGCCACACUGGGACUGAAACACGGCCCAGACUCCUACGGGAGGCAGCAGUGGGGAAUUCUGGACAAUGGGCGCAAGCCUGAUCCAGCAAUGCCGCGUGCAGGAUGAAGGCCUUCGGGUUGUAAACUGCUUUUGUGCGGAACGAAAAGCCCUGGGUUAAUACCCUGGGGUCAUGACGGUACCGUAAGAAUAAGCACCGGCUAACUACGUGCCAGCCGCCGCCGUAAUAC